UAUGGCCAUAUCACAUAGAAACAACGGUUCCCGCACGAUCAGGGAAGUUCAGCAACGUCAAGCCUGAUCAGUACCUAGAUAGGUGACCGCUUGAGAAUACCAGGUGUUGUAAG